rnacentral:rRNA from 1 species
CACGCAGGCUGAAUUAUAAGUCGGUAGUAAAAGGCGGGGGCUCAACUUCCGUAUAUCUAUCGAUACUGUAAAUCUAGAGUAUGUGAGAGGGAAGCGGAAUUCCCGGUGUAGCGGUGAAAUGCGCAGAUAUCGGGAGGAACACCAGUGGCGAAGGCGGCUUCCUGGCACAAUACUGACGCUCAUGUGCGAAAGCUAGGGCAGCGAACG